ACCAAUGCAUGGACAGUUUAAACCCCUAUAGUUAAACCAGCACCAGGUACCUCCUGGCCCACAGGUUCCCUUUACCCAUGCUCAGUGAAAAUAUAUUCAGCAAAGAUGCACAAUAAUUUUAUCUGGAAAGAGUUUUAUUAAAACGUUGCUAUUUAAAGAGGCUCUGUCACAUCUGAGAUGAGAGUAUAUUUGAAUCAAGCACAUAAAAGCAAAUGUUUUAUUUUUUUAUACUCUAU